rnacentral:tRNA from 2 species
UACCCCGUCGUCUAAUGGUAGGACUUUGCGCUCUGAACGCAAAAAUUGAGGUUCGAAUCCUUGCGGGGUAA